GAUGAACGCUGGCGGCGUGCCUAAUACAUGCAAGUCGAGCGAACAGACGAGGAGCUUGCUCCUCUGACGUUAGCGGCGGACGGGUGAGUAACACGUGGAUAACCUACCUAUAAGACUGGGAUAACUUCGGGAAACCGGAGCUAAUACCGGAUAAUAUAUUGAACCGCAUGGUUCAAUAGUGAAAGACGGUUUUGCUGUCACGUAUAGAUGGAUCCGCGCCGCAUUAGUUAGUUGGUAAGGUAACGGCUUACCAAGGCGACGAUGCGUAGCCGACCUGAGAGGGUGAUCGGCCACACUGGAACUGAGACACGGUCCAGACUCCUACGGGAGGCAGCAGUAGGGAAUCUUCCGCAAUGGGCGAAAGCCUGACGGAGCAACGCCGCGUGAGUGAUGAAGGUCUUCGGAUCGUAAAACUCUGUUAUUAGGGAAGAACAAAUGUGUAAGUAACUAUGCACGUCUUGACGGUACCUGAUCAGAAAGCCACGGCUAACUACGUG
rnacentral:rRNA from 1 species